GAACGCACCUUGCGCCCUUUGGCUAUUCCGAAGGGCAUGCCUGUUUGAGUAUCAUGAACACCUCAACUCUCAUGGUUUGCCGUGAUGAGCUUGGACUUUGGGGGUCUUGCUGGCCUACGGUCAGCUCCCCUAAAAUGAAUCAGCUUGCCAGUGUUUGGUGGGAUCACAGGUGUGAUAACUAUCUACGCUUGUGGUUUUCCACCAGAUAACCUUCAGUGAUGGAGGUUCGCUGGAGCUCAUAAAUGUCUCUCCUCAGUGAAGACAGCUUUUUGAACGUUUGAUCUCAAAUCAGGUAGGGCUACCCGCUGAACUUAAG
rnacentral:misc_RNA from 1 species